rnacentral:rRNA from 1 species
GAUGAACGCUGGCGGCGUGCCUAAUACAUGCAAGUCGGACGCAAUGCUUCGGCAUUGAGUGGCGAACGGGUGAGUAAUACAUAAGCAACCUGCCCCUGUGAGGGGGAUAACUGCUGGAAACGGCAGCUAAGACCGCAUAGGCAUACAUGACGCAUGUCGAGUAUGUUAAAUAUCCUACGGGAUAGCACAGGGAUGGGCUUAUGACGCAUUAGCUAGCUGGUGAGGUAGAGGCUCACCAGGGCGACGAUGCGUAGCCGGCCUGAGAGGGUGGACGGCCACACUGGGACUGAGACACGGCCCAGACUCCUACGGGAGGCAGCAGUAGGGAAUUUUCGGCAAUGGGCGAAAGCCUGACCGAGCAACGCCGCGUGAAGGAAGAAGUCAUUCGUGAUGUAAACUUCUGUUAUAAAGGAAGAACGGCGCCUGUAGGGAAUGACAGGCGAGUGACGGUACUU